rnacentral:ncRNA from 1 species
GCUGUCCUCUAUUCACUACGGAUCGUCCGGCACGUACCUGCCGGUGAAGGAGAUACACC